rnacentral:rRNA from 1 species
GAUGAACGCUGGCGGCGUGCCUAAUACAUGCAAGUCGAACGCACAGCGAAAGGUGCUUGCACCUUUCAAGUGAGUGGCGAACGGGUGAGUAACACGUGGAUAACCUACCUCAAGGUUGGGGAUAACAUUUGGAAACAGAUGCUAAUACCGAAUAAAACUUCGUAUCGCAUGAUACAAGGUUAAAAGGCGCUACGGCGUCACCUAGAGAUGGAUCCGCGGUGCAUUAGUUAGUUGGUGGGUAAAGGCCGUACCAAGACAAUGAUGCAUAGCCGAGUUGAGAGACUGAUCGGCCACAUUGGGACUGAGACA